rnacentral:lncRNA from 1 species
GCUGAAUGCUGAUCUUGGUGCUUCUACAUAUUCUGGCCACUUUGGAUUGAAUCCAAAUCUUGGGGGUAUAACUCUUCAAUCAAAGAUGAAGAUCAGUGACUUUGAUACUGUUUGUUUUCCUCUCCCAGCUUCCAAGGAAGGGACAUGAGUAGACAAGGAGUCAAUGAGUGGGGAGUGGCACGUUCCUGACUGCUCUGAAGUCCCACAACACCCCUGUGCCAAUCAGGGCCCUCCAACAAUUCCAGAUCAUGGUCAAAAUAGUUCCAGAAAACAACCAUGGGCCCAUUGACUGGUGAGUAGAUGAAAUGUGGUAUAGUCAUUCAGUGGAACGCUACUCUGCAAUAAAGAAGGAAUAACCCACUGAUACGCUUAAUAAUGUGAAUUAUUCUCAAAAACAGCACACUGAGCAAAAGAGUCCAAAAGAGCAUACACUCUAUGAUCCCAUUUAUAAGAUGCUGUGGAGCAAGAAAACUAAUUUACAGUGACAGAAAGCAAAUCAGUGAUUACAUGGGGUGGAGGUGUGUUCUCCACUUGUAGUAGGAGUUGAGCUGUGUCCUCC